AACGCACAUUGCGCCCCUUGGUAUUCCGGGGGGCAUGCCUGUUCGAGCGUCAUUACACCCCUCAAGCCUGGCUUGGUCUUGGGCUUCGCCGUUCGUUCGGCGGGCCUUAAAAUCAGUGGCGGUGCCUCCGCGGCCCUGAGCGUAGUAAAUUUCCUCGCUUUUGGACCCGGUGGUUACUGGCCAGUAACCCCCAACUUCUAAGUUUGACCUCGGAUCAGGUAGGGAUACCCGCUGAACUUAA
rnacentral:misc_RNA from 1 species